UACGAAGGUGGCAAGCGUUGUCCGGAUUUACUGGGCGUAAAGAGCGCGCAGGCGGUCGUUCAAGUCGCGUGUGAAAGCCCCCGGCUCAACUGGGGAGGGUCACGCGAUACUGAUCGACUCGAAGGCAGGAGAGGGAAGUGGAAUUCCCGGUGUAGUGGUGAAAUGCGUAGAUAUCGGGAGGAACACCAGUGGCGAAGGCGACUUCCUGGCCUGUUCUUGACGCUGAGGCGCGAAAGCUAGGGGAGCAAACGGG
rnacentral:rRNA from 1 species